rnacentral:lncRNA from 1 species
GGAAAAUUCACCUGAUCAUCUUUCAGUUUCUAAGGCGUUUACAUCAUAUCUUGAAUACAGAAUUUGCUCAUCUAUUUAAUCAGUGGUUUUAUGGUAAACACUUUCAUUAAAGUUAACCAAAAAACUCAUGAAGGAAUUCCCCUGAUCUUGUAAGAGGAGCUUGUAUGUAUCAAAAAUCCAAUCAGAAAUGUAAAUACAAAGCAUAAAAACAAACAUCAUAAAAUAUAACAGCUGUUAACAAUACAUUGCUCACGAAAUUAAAGACUGAAAAACCGAAACCUCUCAUAAAGGUUUUAGAAACAAG